rnacentral:tRNA from 1 species
UCCCGUCUAGCUCAAUGGUAGAGCACUUGACUGUUAAUCAGGCGGUUCUAGGUUCGAGUCCUGGGGCGGGAGCCA